UAUGGAACUUGGUUUCUCGAAUAACUUCCGACACAGACAUCUCAGAGCAUGGCCGUCCAAGAAGAAAAUUUAGCCAUUGGUGCCAUCUAUCGACCACAGGUUAAAGAUUGGCGAUACGUUAGAUAUCGACCGAGUUAUAGGCAAAACUUGGUGCAAAAAUGAGCAUUGGUAAAUUUUCAUUUUUUUGAAUUUUUCGAUUUUUUUAUAAUUUUUCACUCUUUUUUUAAUUUAAAGCAUUACUUGAGUGAAAAGAAACACAUUGCAACCAAUUGGCAUUAAAAUAAAUCAAUUUAAAUUUUUUUGCAAAAUUUCCCAAAAAAAACGUAAGGGGUAAGCCUUAUGAAAUUUUCGAGUUGAAAAAUUUUUGUAAAUUUUUUUCUGAUUUUUUAUUUUUUAUUUAACUUAAAGCAUUAUUUGAGUGAAAAGAAACUUAUUGCAACAAACUCGCAUUAAAAUACUUCAAUUUUUAAAAUUUUGCUAAAUUGGUCAAAAAUGUGGAAAAUUUUACAUUUUCUCAAACAGGGUAUGGAACUUGGUUUCUCGAAUAACUUCCGACACAGACAUCUGAGAGCAUGGCCGUCCAAGAAGAAAAUGUAGCCAUUGGUGCCAUCUAUCGACCACAAGUUAAAGAUUGGCGAUACGUUGGAUAUCGACCGAGUUAUAGGCAAAACUUGGUGCAAAAAUGAGGAAAAUUUUACAUUUUCUCAAACAGGGUAUGGAACUUGGUUUCUCGAAUAACUUCUGGCACAGACAUCUAAGGGCAUGGCCGUCCAAGAAGAAAAUGUAGCCAUUGGUGCCAUCUAUCGACCACAGGUUAAAGAUUGGCGAUACGUUGGAUACUGACCGAGUUAUAGGUAAAAGUUGGUGCAAAAAUGAGGAAAAUUUUACAUUUUCUCAAACAGGGUAUGGAACUUGGUUCCUCGAAUAACUUCUGGCACAGACAUCUAAGGGCAUGGCCGUCCAAGAAGAAAAUUUAGCCAUUGGUGCCAUCUAUCGACCACAGGUUAAAGAUUGGCGAUACGUUGGAUACCGACCGAGUUAUAGGCAAAAGUUGGUGCAAAAAUGAGGAAAAUUUUACAUUUUCUCAAACAGGGUAUGGAACUUGGUUUCUCGAAUAACUUCCGACACAGACAUCUCAGAGCAUGGCCGUCCAAGAAGAAAAUGUAGCCAUUGGUGCCAUCUAUCGACCACAGGUUAAAGAUUGGCGAUACGUUGGAUACCGACCGAGUUAUAGGCAAAAGUUGGUGCAAAAAUGAGGAAAAUUUUACAUUUUCUCAAACAGGGUAUGGAACUUGGUUUCUCGAAUAACUUCCGACACAGACAUCUGAGAGCAUGGCCGUCCAAGAAGAAAAUGUAGCCAUUGGUGCCAUCUAUCGACCACAAGUUAAAGAUUGGCGAUACGUUGGAUACCGACCGAGUUAUAGGUAAAAGUUGGUGCAAAAAUGAGGAAAAUUUUACAUUUUCUCAAACAGGGUAUGGAACUUGGUUCCUCGAAUAACUUCUGGCACAGACAUCUAAGGGCAUGGCCGUCCAAGAAGAAAAUUUAGCCAUUGGUGCCAUCUAUCGACCACAGGUUAAAGAUUGGCGAUACGUUGGAUACCGACCGAGUUAUAGGCAAAAGUUGGUGCAAAAAUGAGGAAAAUUUUACAUUUUCUCAAACAGGGUAUGGAACUUGGUUUCUCGAAUAACUUCCGACACAGACAUCUGAGAGCAUGGCCGUCCAAGAAGAAAAUUUAGCCAUUGGUGCCAUCUAUCGACCACAAGUUAAAGAUUGGCGAUACGUUGGAUAUCGACUGAGUUAUAGGCAAAACUUGGUGCAAAAAUGAGCAUUGGUAAAUUUUUAUUUUUUUGAAUUUUUCGAUUUUUUUAUAAUUUUUCACUCUUUUUUUAAUUUAAAGCAUUACUUGAGUGAAAAGCAACACAUUGCA